rnacentral:rRNA from 1 species
UACAGAGACUGCAAGCGUUGUUCGGAUUCAUUGGGCGUAAAGGGUCCGUAGGCGGUCGGUUAGGUCGGAUGUGAAAUCUCACAGCCUAACCGUGAGCGGUCAUUCGAAACUAAUCGGCUAGAGGGCUGGAGAGGAGACUGGAAUUGUCGGUGUAGCGGUGAAAUGCGUAGAUAUCUGGAGGAACACCGGUGGCGAAGGCGGCAUCCUGGACCAAUAUUGACGCUGAGGAGCGAAAGCCAGGGGAGCAAACGGG